GCACUGCUGACGACUCCAGAACAGGACGAAACAGCUGUCCAGUGC
rnacentral:hammerhead_ribozyme from 1 species